rnacentral:rRNA from 1 species
AGGUUAGUUUUACCCUACUGAUGACCUUGCCCCAAUGGUAAUACCGCUUAGUACGAGAGGAACCGCGGUUUCAGAUAAUUGGUUUUUGCGGCUGUCUGACCAGGCAUUGCCGCGAAGCUACCAUCUGCUGGAUUAUGGCUGAACGCCUCUAAGUCAGAAUCCAUGCCAGAACGGGGUGAUUUCCGCCUGCACCAGUCGGAU